rnacentral:rRNA from 1 species
GAUCAUGGCUCAGGAUGAACGCUAGCUACAGGCUUAACACAUGCAAGUCGAGGGGAAACGACAUCGAAAGCUUGCUUUUGAUGGGCGUCGACCGGCGCACGGGUGAGUAACGCGUAUCCAACCUGCCCAUCGACUUGGGAAUAACCUUGCGAAAAGUAACGACUAAUGCCCAAUGAUAUCCCACGAAGGCAUCCGAAUGGGAUUAAAGAUUUAUCGGUGAUGGAUGGGGAUGCGU